rnacentral:lncRNA from 1 species
CUUGGAACUGGGUGGCUAACAGGAGAACUCCCUGAUUUCAAAUGACUUCCUUGUGAUUCACUUAGUUUCUCAUGGGAGCUGAAUGAAAAGGAAGAAUGUUAAUUGGCGGUUGUUGACUAAAACGUUACUUUGUCUAAGCCAAUCUCUUGGAUGACUACACCAAACUAUUCCAUGAAAGAGCAAUUUGUGUGACCUGUCACCCCUGGAUCAUCCCAGGGAAUGAAUAAAGCCAGAGACGUGUCCUCUUCCUGUAUCUAGACCGGCAGGUGAGGGGUGGCACCUCUGCUCCUCCCAUUCCACGCCAGCGUCUGGACAGUCAGGAAGGAAUUCCUCACCAUGUACCUUAGUGUGGAUCCAUCCUUUACACCCUUGGCCUCUCUGCCUUAUGGCUCAAGAGCUGCAUGUUGUGGCAGAAAGGACGGUGUCCUGAAGUUCUCACUGCUUUAGCUUUUAAUCCUGGCUUCACCUCCUGCAGCUGUGCCUUAGACAAGUUCGUUUAGGAAAUACAGAUGUGCUCCAUGUUGUAUACUGUCAUUAUUUCAUCUGUUUGACACAACGCUAUUAGCCUCCGGGAACCCUUGUUUCCUCCCCUGUAAAAGGAUAGUAAAGUACAAGGCUAGUGCAAUUCCUGGAGGACAUGUAUGAAGUGCGUACCACCAAGCAAACAGUCACUGGAUGGUGUCUAUUUUAGUGACUUAGGAAAAACCCUCAUAGAUUUAAACAGACCAGUAUAAGUUUAUACACACGCUAUCAAUGGCAGAACAGAGAGAGGUCAGUUCACUUCUAAAGGAAGUGAGUUUAGUAUGUCAACUAAAGGACUUCUGAAUGAUUUCAGAGUAGCUGCUCUUCUCCUCUGGAACCUGUUUAAGACUAAGAAAUUGAGACAAUGGAAAGAGGGGAGGAAGAAGGGGAAAGAGGCAAAGGAAAGGAAGGUGUGUGUGUGUGUGUGUGUGUGUGUGUGUGUGUGUGUGUGUGUGUCAGAAGAAAAGAGAGAUGGAGAGAGAGGGAGGGGAGGGAUGGUAGAGAGAGACAGGUUAAAAUAUAUAUGCAGGAUGAAUUGCUUGGGAGAAAUGCAAGUUUUUAAAAAUAGGUGAGUGUGUUAGCCAAGCCUAAGGGGAACUUUACCAUAUGCAAUAGAAGAGAAGGACUCUGGAUAACAUGGUGUCAGGGUGGUGGUGGGGCAAAUGGGUGCUAAGACAGGCAGGGCAGUCUCCAUGAGUGUAUUCCAACAUACAGACCUUUUAGGAACACUAGUAGUCCUGGCCCCACUGGGAGGUAUGGAAAGGUUUGUGUUCUCACAAAACCAGGGGGUC